rnacentral:rRNA from 1 species
AACGAACGCUGGCGGCAUGCCUAACACAUGCAAGUCGAACGAGACCUUCGGGUCUAGUGGCGCACGGGUGCGUAACGCGUGGGAACCUGCCCUUAGGUUCGGAAUAACUCCCCGAAAGGGGUGCUAAUACCGGAUAAUGUCUUCGGGCCAAAGAUUUAUCGCCUUUGGAUGGGCCCGCGUUGGAUUAGCUAGUUGGUAGGGUAAUGGCCUACCAAGGCGACGAUCCAUAGCUGGUCUGAGAGGAUGAUCAGCCACACUGGGACUGAGACACGGCCCAGACUCCUACGGGAGGCAGCAGUGGGGAAUAUUGGACAAUGGGCGAAAGCCUGAUCCAGCCAUGCCGCGUGAGUGAUGAAGGCCUUAGGGUUGUAAAGCUCUUUUACCCGGGAUGAUAAUGACAGUACCGGGAGAAGAAGCUCCGGCUAACUCCGUG